rnacentral:lncRNA from 1 species
UACUUUUUUGGGAGCAAAUGUUCUCCAGCAUAUAGUUGACAGUGGUUAGGAGCCCUCCCCUUCCCCUGCCCUCCUGUAACAGCAGAAUCCUAUCCUUCCUCUUCUGUUCAUUGUAUUGACCAACCAGUAAUCCUAUUAUGUAUCUGAGUGUGUGUAUAGGGGGAAGGGGUUCUUUACAUUUUCUGUGGUUUGUGCUUUUUUCUUCAGUAAAUUAGUUCCCACCAUCGCAUGCCCAGGGGCCACUACCUGGCAUUAUCGCAUGCUGGGAUCAUUGGGGGAGGGUAGUUUGAAAUUCACCACUGUCCUUUGUUUUGGAGAUUCUUAUUUUUUAAUAAGUAAUCCGUCCUAUACAAAUAGCUAAUUAACUCUUGUGUUCCCCCUGCCCAUAUGGCUGCUGGUGUAAAUAAAUUGCAUUUUCCCAUUGCUAAAUGAUAAUAAAAUUUAAAAGAAAUAUUUUGACUCAUCUUCUUAAUGGCAUGUUUCCCAGGGGUUGUUGGCAUAGCAAAAUAUUUUACCACUCUUGAAUCUAGGUACUUGAAUGGGAGGUACAUCAAAAUCCACAGAGGAACUCUGUCUAGCUUUUAUUUCUCAUAUAAUCCUUCAAAUUUGGCUGUCUAUUAAAGAAAAAAGUACAUAAAGUUCCCUUUUUCAUAUGAGGUAAGAAGACAGUAAAAUAUAGUCCGGGCUACUAAUAAUGGUGCAUUGUAGUAGUUUAACUUGUACAAAAUUUGUUAUAGUAUAUACGUCAUCAUCAAACUAACUUGACAAAUGUUAAGUAGCAGAAAAUGCUUCCUACCUACUGUCCCUUAGUUUGUCCCACUCCUUUAGGGUUUUUGUUUGCUUUUGAAUAACAUCUCUUAAUUGUAAUCUACAGUUUGAGCAUUUCCUAGGAAUUGUACAUAAAAUUUAGUUCUGUCCAAAGUCACCAUAGUUCAAGGUGGGAAGUAGACAAGACAGAAGGCAUGGGAAAGUACCAGAGUAGGAAACUUCUAGUUGAAUACUCCAAAUAGCCUUCUUUUCCAUGAUCAUGAGUUGUAAUUAAAUGCAAUUGGCCACCUAAGACCUACAGUCAAAUCUGUUGAGAAAUUGUUUUAAAAGAAAAUGGGAAGGCUCUGUUAAAGAGCAUGUGACAAGUUUACUAUACAAAGUCCUAAAAAUAAAUCUCGAUUUUCCUUAAAUUUCUAUUAAGUGAAAUCUAUAUGGGAAUCUACCAUAACAUUUUAUUUAAAUUACUUGAUGCAGACAUCCUAUUUUGUAGAAUUAGAUUUAAUAUAGUCCUUUGUUUUCUAAAAUGACAAAAGACCAACUAUGUCCUAUAGGUAGUAUCUUUAUUGUUAGAAAGGAUAUCAAAUAGUUCAUAGCUCUGCUGGAUUUAGUAAUUUCAAGUUAUUUGAAGUAUGGAUUCAGGAAAACUUGCUCUGCAGGCAUUAAUGAUAACUGCCCUCUGAACCUGAGUUGUCCAUAUCUGUUUUGUUCAUUUAACAAGUAAAGAGCUGGUAUCUACCUGCUUUUAAACACAAUGUGAAACAAACAAUGUUUCACAUUAACGCUGAAAAGUUUAACACAGUGUCAGCUCUCCGCUUACCUUGAGAUAUAAUACUUCUUUAAAAGUUUACUGUGCUGGAAAAAGUGUGUCAUUCAUAGUACAACAGAUACAUGCUCUUGAUAGAACUUUGGAGGAGAAUAGUAAUAUGAUGUAAUCAUUGAAAAUAUAUGGCCCAGAAAACUGAAAAGCCUUGGGAUUUACUUCCAGUUGUUUCCCCAAUUUUAAAACAGUUCUAGUUCUAUGUGAACCUCAUUGGAAAUAUGUGUGCUUAAAAAAAAAAUUGUUAAAAUUGAUUUUAGAACUGAAAAUGGUGUGCAUCUUGCUGGCACCUGAAAGUUAUUACCAGGACUAAAUCCUGAAGUCAUUAGAUGUGACAGAAACAAACUUAAAAUGCAAAUAGUGUGACUCUUAAGCCAGCACUCAUUUGCUGAAAUAAUUUAGUAAAAAAUUAAAUUUCUAAAACUGUGUAGUUAAGAAAAAGAAAAGAAAGCAUGAUUCUUAAUAACUUUAUGGUAGUGGAUUUGAGAAUGAAAAUAAAUGUUUAAAAUACAACUUGUCAAAGUUGAUUGAAGCCGGGCAUGGUAGUCUUGGCUGUAACUUAGCUUCUGAAGGAGAGGUGAAAUUUGAUUAUCAGGAGUUCAAAGGCAGCCUUAACUGUAUAAUGGUUUCAAUCACUCUAGGUUAAGAUUUAUGUGAAAGUGGUGUGUAAGAAUAGAUAACCAUGUAACAGAUUUUAAUUCACACUUAACAAAUAUUUCAUAUAUUAUGACUUUCAGAAUCUCAUACUGUUGUCAUUCUGAUCAGCUGAUAUAAGGGAAUAGUAUUAACCAUAAGCGAUAACAGAAUCUCAUUACAAUUAUAAAUUUUAUCUGCACAUUAACAACUUAGUGUAGAAAAGUAACUUUUUUUUUAAUGCAGGGCAGCUGUAUAAAUGUGUAUAGGGAGAAAUAUUUAAAGGUAACAAAAUAAAUAUUAGAUUUAAAAUCAAAACUUGUUCGUGAAAUCAGAAAUAAGCAAACUACCUGAUAUCACAGGUUUGCUGUCCUUUUAAGAGAUAGGUAUUUUGUAGAAAUAAUUAUAAAUAUUAUAAUUAUAAAAUUUACAAAUGUCCAGAGUACAAGAACAACUCAUAAGAAAAUAUCUAAAUGACCAAAAGGAUAUGAAAAGUUAAGUUCAGAAAAAUGUAACCUAGAAUCAAAUGGCACAGCAGUUUAUGUUAUUCAAUGUGAUAGACUAAAAUGGCGAUGACCAUAUGAGCGCAUUCCCACUGGAUGCCAAGUCCUACUACAGAGAUGCUCACACAGUGUAUUACUACGCUUUUCACAGUAGGGAGGAAAUGAAACAUUACAUGCCCAUCAACAGAUAAAUGGAGAAGGAAAGUAUGCUGUGGAGUGGAAUUUAUUGAGCUAUGUAUGCAUCAAGAUAAAUUUGUUAUAAGAACUGUAAGUUUAUUGAAGAAAAAUAUGGAAUUGGCAUAGAAAUGGGUAGAGCUGGAAAACAUUAAAUGAGGUAACCUAGAAAGUGUCUCAUUGAUGAGAUAAAGGUUUUAGCAGAGGUGGGCUAGGGAGCUAAUAGCCAUUAUGGCUUAUAAAGUUGGAGGAGGAAUGUUGAGAGCAAGAGAAUACAAAGAAGGGAGAGAAAAGAGUACGGGGGGGCAGAGACUCAGCAGAAAUGGAUAAAAGGAUAAUCAGUUCUCAGUCAUAUGGAACAGAUUUAAACCACAGCAAGUGUACAGCAAAGGCCUUCCUGUCUUCACCACAAAAAAUGCAGGUGCAUACUGCCACAUUCAGCUUGCAAUACAAAGUCCAAGAGACAAGUGAAAAACAAGAAAUUGCACUAUAAAAAAUGGAGACACCAUUUUGAAAGUGGCGUAAUAGACCCUGUUGAAAUACCUACAUCCAUGUGGAAAGGAUGGGCAGGCAUGAUGCAGUGAAGUAGAUAAGUAGACUUGUACCUCCCUGUCUUCAGAGAGAAGAGAGGAGAAACAGAAAAAAAUGACAGCCCAGGGUGAAAUAAAUGAAAUCUCUCAACAUUGUUGUUCCUUUCCAUUUCCUUCUACUGAAGUUAAGUGUGUAUUAACAGUUGUCCUUUGUGACAGCUGACUCUGUCCCUCGGUAGUUUCACUAAACAAGAACUCAUAACAGAUAUUCAUUUCAUUAGGAAUUUCAUCUGUACCCUCAUACCUAAUCAUGUACUUAAAGGAUUGUUUUCUGUAGUUAAUUAUUUCACCUAAUGCUACUGAACUAGGAUCACUUUCUUGUGAAUAUUAUUGGGUACAGAAUAAAAUUGCUAUAAGU